GAUGAAGAACGUAGCGAAAUGCGAUAAGUAAUGUGAAUUGCAGAAUUCAGUGAAUCAUCGAAUCUUUGAACGCACCUUGCGCUCCUUGGCAUUCCGAGGAGCAUGCCUGUUUGAGUGUCAUUAAAUUCUCAAGACCUGUCUGCUUUUUUGAUAGGUAUUGGAUUUUGGGGGUUGCAGGCUGUUUCAAAUAAAUAGCCUUGCUCUCCUUGAAUGUAUUAGUGGAGAAAAGCCAUUGAACUCCAUUGGUGUGAUAAAACCUAUCAAUGCCAGGAGCAAUAUCACUACUUCUCUCUGCUGUCUAACUGUGACUGUCUGUAUUAAUUAGUAUGGAUGGGGACAACUUGACCAACUUGACCUCAAAUCAGGUAGGACUACCCGCUGAACUUAAGCAUAUCAAAAGCGGAGGA
rnacentral:misc_RNA from 1 species